UGCAUGUCUCAGUGCAAGCCGCAUUAAGGUGAAACCGCGAAUGGCUCAUUAAAUCAGUUAUGGUUCCUUAGAUGGUGGACAGUUACUUGGAUAACUGUGGUAAUUCUAGAGCUAAUACAUGCAACUCGGUCCCGACCGGAGACGGAAGGGACGCUUUUAUUAGAUCAAAACCAAUCGGUCCUCGCGGCCGUUUGCCUUGGUGACUCUGAAUAAAUUGUGGCAGAUCGCACGGUCUCCGUACCGGCGACGCAUCUUUCAAAUGUCUGCCUUAUCAACUGUCGAUGGUAGGUUCUGCGCCUACCAUGGUUGUAACGGGUAACGGGGAAUCAGGGUUCGAUUCCGGAGAGGGAGCCUGAGAAACGGCUACCACAUCCAAGGAAGGCAGCAGGCGCGCAAAUUACCCACUCCCGGCACGGGGAGGUAGUGACGAAAAAUAACGAUACGGGACUCAUCCGAGGCCCCGUAAUCGGAAUGAGCACACUUUAAAUCCUUUAACGAGUAUCCAUUGGAGGGCAAGUCUGGUGCCAGCAGCCGCGGUAAUUCCAGCUCCAAUAGCGUAUAUUAAAGUUGUUGCGGUUAAAAAGCUCGUAGUCGGACUUGUGUCCCACGCUGCCGGUUCACCGCCCGUCGGUGUCUAACUGGCAUGCACGUGCGGACGUCCUGCCGGUGGCCCGAUUCCGGCCCGAUUUUCCCGGGGUGCGGAAACGUAUCCCCGGGGGCGGGUGUCUGGAUAGGGCCUACUCAUACCCGUCGCGGUGCUCUUAACCGAGUGUCUCGAUGGACCAGCACGUUUACUUUGAACAAAUUAGAGUGCUUAAAGCAGGCAGCAGCCGCCUGAAUACCGAGUGCAUGGAAUAAUGGAAUAGGACCUCGGUUCUAUUUUGUUGGUUUUCGGAAUCCCCGAGGUAAUGAUCAAUAGGGACAGACGGGGGCAUUCGUAUUGCGACGUUAGAGGUGAAAUUCUUGGAUCGUCGCAAGACGGACCGAAGCGAAAGCAUUUGCCAAGAAUGUUUUCUCUGAUCAAGAACGAAAGUUAGAGGUUCGAAGGCGAUCAGAUACCGCCCUAGUUCUAACCAUAAACGAUGCCAGCCAGCAAUCCGCCGAAGUUCCUCCGAUGACUCGGCGGGCGGCUUCCGGGAAACCAAAGCUUUUGGGUUCCGGGGGAAGUAUGGUUGCAAAGCUGAAACUUAAAGGAAUUGACGGAAGGGCACCACCAGGAGUGGAGCCUGCGGCUUAAUUUGACUCAACACGGGAAA
rnacentral:rRNA from 1 species